CUAGGGGCUUUAAAGCCAGAUACGUGAAAGAGUCAUAAGAGGUGUCUGCGGUUAACCACAACGUUCUAAUUGGGAUCAAGAGGUUAACCAGCAGCUCACUUCUCUUCUGGGUGGCCGUCCGUUCGGUAAGUUCAUUCGGUAGAAAAGUCAAAUAAACGAACAGGGGCAUACAGACAGGUAAUUCCACGAAAAGAGGCAAAACAGACGAACCAGCAAUCUUAGUCUAUACAGAUGGAUC